CUGUGCAUCUUAAAGGUGACUGUAGAGCGCCAUCUAGUGAGACAAGUGGUGUAUUGAUACUGCACACGUAAAAAGAUUUAAAGUGAGAAUUCUUCCAAUUCUAGACACUCGGUUGUAAAAAUGUUUCCAUUUUGAAGUUUAACACGAAGGUCUAUGAGGAUUGGCUCACUGUUGGAGCCAGCCCUCGAGUGGUCAGUGUAGGAACUGCAGGUCUUUGGCAAUAAAGUACACAGACGUCAUGAUGUGUCACGCUGCUUUUUCCUCCUUUCAUUCUUCAGAGGUUGCACCUUGGUCCUGACGCACAGCAACAUGGCGGACGGGAGCUAGCAUGCUAACGAGUCCGGCCUCAGACAUCACGCUGGGCAUGCACUGUAUUCAUAUGACCACAGGGGGCGCCUGUACAAUACAGAGACUGAUAUAGUCAAGGCAUUCUGCCUCAGACAUGCGGGGUUUCCUGUCAGUCACUCUGAUAUCUGCCGUCUCAUCGUUUAUUUUCGUCACUGAUUGAGAAAACAGAUUAAAAAAGGAUGUGUUGACUCUGUGGUCAAACUGUGACACACCAGCAUCAGUUCCUCUGAAGAGCCUCAGAGUUCUGUCGGUAGCCUCAGAGAGCUGAUGCAGGCUGGCCGCUGAGGUCCUCACAGAAACUCAGCAACAUGAGGGCGGACAUCUUCUGCCUCCUGUUGGCCUGCGCCGUGGGCCGGAGCGCCGCUGCAGACGUCCUGACUGUUGGAGAGAAGCAGGCGGUGACGCUGCGCUGCCCCCUACCUGUGAAGAACAGCGUGACGUGGAGCAGAGAGCGUGGAGCAGGCAAAGAGAACAUACUGACAGUUCAUCUUGAAAGUGACGUGAAACACAUCAGUGAUCCACACAGACGAUACAGCUCUCAGGCUGAUAACUCCCUGUUCAUUCUCAGAACUGAGGUCUCAGACUCUGGAACUUAUUUCUGUAACGACACAGCAGCUGUGACCCUGACAGUGACAUCACCAGGUGUUCCUACACACGAGCAGCUUCUCCUUGAUUUGCCGUUAAAAAUUGGCGUCCCGCUCUUCAUCCUCCUCAUCCUCAUCGGCGCCGUCGUUGCUUGGAGACGCGGGUGUGAACAUCGAGGAGGGACGGAACACCACGUCUACGAGGAGAUAGAGGGCGCCGCAGGAGGUGGAGGUCGGCCUGUGUACAGUGCGGCUCAUUUCUCAUGUGAUUCAGGCCCAAACGAUCCUACAUACUGCAUCAUCAGCCACCGGCCACACUCAGCUCAUAACGCCUGUGAGUGUGUUCAGACCGCGUGGGCAUCAUGUCAGAUUUCAGAUUUUGCUGCGCUGUCAUUAAAGCCUGUGUUUGGUUCUGCAGGUUCAUCAGAGCCGACUGACGCCACAUACGUCCUGCUGGAGCACCCCAAAGCAGCCUCCACCACGAAGGAGGCCCGUCUGUAGAUCCACUCUGUUCCUCUGCUCACAGCACAGUAGGUGGCAGUAAUGCACCCACCACUAAACCAAAAGAAGAAGAAGAAGAAGAAACCUGGGUGGCACACCAAGCCCCUCCCACAGACUGAGCCCCUCCCCCUCAGUGUUCAAUGUCUGAGAUUGUUUGUCAAUGUUCAAAAAUACAAAUAAAAAACCAUAAAGGUCUCUGACCA
ensembl:lncRNA uncharacterized LOC114431861